UCCAGACUCCUACGGGAGGCAGCAGUGAGGAAUAUUGGUCAAUGGCCGGAAGGCUGAACCAGCCAAGUCGCGUGAGGGAAUAAGGCCCUAUGGGUCGUAAACCUCUUUUGUCAGGGAGCAAAGGCGUCCACGUGUGGACGAGAGGAGAGUACCUGAAGAAAAAGCAUCGGCUAACUCCGUGCCAGCAGCCGCGGUAAUACGUAGGGUGCGAGCGUUAAUCGGAAUUACUGGGCGUAAAGGGUGUGCAGGCGGCUGAGUAAGACAGAUGUGAAAUCCCCGGGCUUAACCUGGGAACCGCAUAUGUGACUGCUUGGCUAGAGUGCGUCAGAGGGAGGUGGAAUUCCACGUGUAGCAGUGAAAUGCGUAGAUAUGUGGAAGAACACCGAUGGCGAAGGCAGCCUCCUGGGACGCAACUGACGCUCAUACACGAAAGCGUGGGGAGCAAACAGGAUUAGAUACCCUUGUA
rnacentral:rRNA from 1 species